rnacentral:rRNA from 1 species
ACCAUAAAGCUAGCCAAAACAAAUCUUAUUCACCCUCCAUUAUUAAUUUGAUAUUUUAUAUUACAUUAAUUAAUUUAAAACAUUUUAUCCUUCUCAGUAUAGGCGAUAGAACAGAACCUUUGAGCUAUACAAAUAGUACCGCAAGGGAAAGCUGAAAAAGAAAUGAAACAAAUCAUUAAAGUACAAAAAAGCAGAGACAAACCCUCGUACCUUUUGCAUCAUGAUUUAGCAAGAACAAUUAGACAAAAAGCUUUUUAGUCUAACUUCCCGAAACCAAACGAGCUACUUCGGAGCAGCAUAUUAGAGCCAACCCACCUCUGUGGCAAAAGAGGGGGAAGACUCCCAAGUAGCGGUGAUAAGCCUACCGAGUUUGGUGAUAGCUGGUUGUCCAAGAAAAGAACUUAAAUUCUGCAUUAAUUUAUUCAACUUGUUAAUUAAAAGACUUUUUUAACAAAACCAAUUGUAAUAAUUAAUAGUUAUUCAAAAAAGGUACAGCUUUUUUGAAUUAAGAAACAACUUUAUUAGGUGGGUAAUGAUUAUAAUUUCUAAAGGAUUCUCCUCAGUGGGCCCGGAAGCAGCCACCUGUAAAGAAAGCGUUAUAGCUCAAGUCCAUAUUAACCAACAAAUCCCAAUAAUAAAUUCACAACCCCCUAAAAACCUAUUGGACUAUUUUAUCAAACUAACAUAAAAGAAAUUAUGCUAAAAUGAGUAAUAAGGGACUAACUCCCUCCCAACACACCAGUGUAAGUCAGAAAGAAUUAAAUCACUGACAAUUAACCGAUGCCAAACUGAGGUACUUAUGAUAUUAACAUAUAUAACAAGAAAAACCCAUUCAAAACAUCGUUAACCCCACACAGGAGUGUUCUUAGGAAAGAUUAAAAGAGAAUAAAGGAACUCGGCAAACACAAACUCCGCCUGUUUACCAAAAACAUCGCCUCUUGCCUAUUACAUGUAUAAGAGGUCCCGCCUGCCCUGUGAUUUUUUUAACGGCCGCGGUAUCUUGACCGUGCGAAGGUAGCGUAAUCACUUGUUUUUUAAUUGAAGGCCCGUAUGAAAGGCAUAACGAGAGUUUAUCUGUCUUUAUUUUCUAAUCAAUGAAAUUGAUCUUCUCGUGCAGAAGCGAGAAUAAAAACAUAAGACGAGAAGACCCUAUGGAGCUUAAAACACCUAAGUUAUUUUUAAAUAAUAAUAAAUUCCUACCUACGGGCACAAAAAUACAUAAAAUAAUCUUCUAACUUAACUUGUUUUUGGUUGGGGCGACCAAGGGGAAAAACAAAACCCCCUUAUCGAACGGGUGAAAAAUCACUCAAAAUUAGAAUUACAAUUCUAAUUAAUAGAAAAUCUAACGAACAAUGACCCAGGAGACAAUAUCCUGAUCAAUGAACCAAGUUACCCUAGGGAUAACAGCGCAAUCCUUUCUUAGAGCCCCCAUCACCGAAAGGGUUUACGACCUCGAUGUUGGAUCAGGACAUCCUAAUGGUGUAGCAGCUAUUAAGGGUUCGUUUGUUCAACGAUUAAUAGUCCUAUGUGAUCUGAGUUCAGACCGGAGCAAUCCAGGUCAGUUUCUAUCUAUGACGGCAUUCUUCCCAGUACGAAAGGACCGGAAAAAUGAAGCCUAUGCCUUUAGGUACGCUUCAAUCCAACCUGCUGAAAUCAACUCAAGCAGAUAAAGGCUGCCAUCCUUAAGCCAAAGAUUAUGGUUUUU